rnacentral:sRNA from 1 species
GGAUCGGGCCUUUCAGGCAUCCUCUCCCAAAAACUUUCGUAGGGCUGGUCCAUCGGAUCGGCCCUUUUUUUUUGCGCCU